UGAGGGUGUGUGUGUGUGGGAGGUCCUCCCAUACACACACCCUCACUCCCAUCCAUACACUCACCCUCUCUCACACACCCAACCUCCCACCUUAAUGUGUGUGGAUGGGACUAAGGUUUUCUCAUUUCUUUCAGAUUGUGCGCCUCCGAGGUGAACGUCUGACUGGUCGAGAACUCCUCCAAACAGGUAAAGUACUUAUGACAAUAUAUAAUGACUAUAUGCAAGUAUUUAUGAAUGUUAUGUUUUAAAUUUCUUGUAUUCCAGGUUUGUUUAUGUGGCUGACUGUGGACCUACAAGGGGCUUCUUGGAGGUAAUAAAGAUACAUCAGUGAUGGCGGGGCCGUCACAUUACCAGCUGUUGUGGAUUUCUCAAUUCAACCUUUAUAUUGCAAACUCCACAUAAGGUAAAACACUUCCAUUCAGCAAUUGGUGUGCAGUGUCCAGAUUGUCAACAUUUAGUUCAGUAUGAUGUUACUUCUGGCCAGCUUAACCUGAGGAGAAAGUCAGUACACGAUUAGAUUUUGAAAAGGAAACUGCAAAAUCUCAUGGUGUUGUCCCGACCUCCGUAAAGUGUCAUUAAUGCAAGAACGAAUGUAAGUGUCGCCAAGACCAACAUGUGGUAACUCCAACGAGAACCAGGCCAAUAAGAUGAAGAAAUUCAAGAGUUAGCCCAAGGUAUUUCACUGAGUUUACUGGGGUUCAUUCCCACAUUGAAGUAAAACUCCCCAAGUUGUAAUUGGCUGCAUGGCGCAACACCAGUCUCUCAACGACUGCCAGAUAAUAUAAUGGCAUCCAGCCAAUGCUGGAUUUAGGCACAAGCCUCUACAAAACCCUGGGCAGUACUCAAAUUAUUCUUGAAUCCUGACAUCUUCUGACACUAAACUAGGUGGGAAGCACAUACAAAGGCUGCUUCACCCAUAAGCCCAUAGGUGAGUUAUACAGAAAUUAAAUUAUGUACUGGAAUGAUGCUUCUCCCAAUGUCCAUACUAAUGACUGUGAAGAGGGUGAAACAAGAAGAAAGCUGAUAUUCUUCUUGAGAAAACUGAGGAACUGGAAUGUGUGUUCAUGUUCAUUGGUUAGAUCAUUUCCACAAACCAACAAAACCCUACAGGAUCCACAGAUUCGACUUAGCACAUGUACAAAGCUUUACACAUUGCUCACUAACUUCUUGAAAUAAAUCCUAGAAUGUGUUGAUGAAAUUGGACUCAAAGCAAAAGGAGACCUGCCUGAUGUAGACUACAAGUGUGAAUAAAAGAGUGAGAAAAAACAAGUCAGUGAUGGUGAUGCAGCAAAUGAUGAUGACAGGCUUUCUCCAAGAGACAAAUUUUGAGUAAAAUACUUUAUUCCCAUGAUGGAUUCCCUUGAAAUCAGUGUGAAAAAAAGACAGUCAUAUACCGUACAAUAAUGUUGCAAAAAUAUAGAAAUUUUUAGUUGAUUUAGAAAAACAGUUGUGUGACAGUGUAAAGUUUGUGAUGAAAGACUACCCUGAUGAUAUUGAUGUUACCCUUGUUGGGGAAGUAAAGCAAUUUCAUGUUUAUACCAAGAUAAAUUAUUCUAAUAAAGGAUAUUUAUGCCACUA